rnacentral:rRNA from 1 species
CCUACGGGUGGCAGCAGUAGGGAAUCUUUCACAAUGGGCGAAAGCCUGAUGGAGCAAAGCCGCGUGCAGGAUGAAGGCCCUCGGGUUGUAAACUGCUUUUAUAAGCGAGAAAUAUGAUGGUAACUUAUGAAUAAGGAUCGGCUAACUACGUGCCAGCAGCCGCGGUGAUACGUAGGAUCCGAGCAUUAUCCGGAGUGACCGUGUGUAAAGAGUUGUGUAGGUGGCAUAAUAAGUAGCUAGUGAAAUGUGGUGGCUCAACCAUUCAGACUAUUAGCUAAACUGUUAAGCUCGAGACCGUUAGAGGUAAGUGGAAUUUGUAGUGUAGGAGUGAAAUCCGUAGAUAUUAGAAAGAACACCAAUAGCGUAGGCAGGUUACUGGGACGGUUCUGACACUAAGGCACGAAAGCGUAGGGAGCAAACGGGAUUAGAUACCCUUGUAGUC